AAUUAAGAAUGAGUUUCCUUGAUAAAUGGUGACAAUUGUUUGACUGUGAUUUGCUAGACAUGUAUAAUAUAUUAAUUUUCAUCGUUGUUAUAUUUUUAGUACAUUUGUUACAAUUUGUGUUUGUACAUUGGGUUGUUUUACUUUGUGUUAAGAAUAUCUCUUAUAUGAUCUUAACUCCCUAUUUUCACUCAAUCUGCAUUUAUGCAUCAUCUAUUGUUUUGUUUUCCUUAGUAUUGUAUUGUAUAGUAUAAUUUAAUUGAAACGGAGAGACAUCCAUAACUUAAAAGUAAGCGAAGUGGGAAAAAAAGACAAAUAUUAUUUAACAUCAGGGUAACAUUUUGGAUGUCCACAUUUAUGUCAAAUGUGUCUAUCAGUUUAUGUUACGCUUUCUUAUACCCACAAUUUUAGUAUUACCUGAAGUAUUAAAUGAUCUGCUAAGCUUUUUGAAAAGAGUUUACUGCCUCUCUUUUAGUUAGCAAGAAAAUGAAAAGCAAAAGUAGAAAUUCCAUAAUAAAAAGGUGUGUAGUGUUUUGUAACUUUUUUUUGUUUAGGUCUAUUUUUGUUGAGAUGAAACUUUCUGUCUCAACUUGAUGUAUCACUAUUUAAACGUUUUUUUUAAAUUUGUUUAUUAAAACAUAAAUAUUCAUAGAAUCUUUUAUUUGAAAUGAAGCUUGGUUAUAACUCCACCAAUGAUUAUUGUGUACAAAUUAUUCUGAAGUUUAAAGACUCGUAUAUUUACUUAAAUAUCUGGUUGAUACUGACAUGCUCUAAGAAUGGAUAUCUUUAGUUAUAUUGUAUGUUAGUUUUGUUUAAUUGACUUUUAAAACUUAAACUUGAUUUCAAUUGGGUACAUUUUGUUUUGAAUUUAUGCUGAGAGUAUUGAAUCCUUUUUGUCUAACCAGGUUGUAGGUACAUGUCAAGAUUAAAGACAUUUUUUUUUUAGUUGCCUUCUAUGAAGGACUAUAAAUUUAUGAUCUUGAACUGACUGAAGUGAAGAUGAAAUUCUUUGUUAAUGUUUUAGUGAAAUAAUUUGUGUGUAGUGCUAUCACUUUUUUGCUCUCACUGCCAUGUAUCAUAUAAUAUACAAGUCAGUCAUGUUAACAUCAAUAUAUUGUACAGAUUCUAUUUACGUUUUGGUGUUAGCCAACUUUUGAGUUGGACCAAACCAAAUGUAUUAACCUUACACCACUCAGCAGACUUUCUUAUAUUUCAUUGAAAUAGGGUGUUUGAUUUCUGUUCAAAUGCUUUGAUUUUUUUUUGUAAACAUUUUCUUGUUCAACUUAAGAAAAUGAAUAAUGGUGUGUAGAAGUUUUUAGAUCAUGUACAUUUCUCUCACAUCGCAAGCACCAUGCUUGUCAAUCACACAGUAUUAAGAACUGGGCAGCUGAUUAAAGUAAGAGGAUUUCAAGAGUUGACAGGUCAAUGGCUCUGUUAAUAAUGUGACAAUAUUGAAGCAUGGCUUGUGUUGUUUCCUUGUUCAUCUAUGUGCAAUAUUUCUUUAAAACUAAUCUCAAUACGUACAAACAUAUCUAUAUUAUGAUGAAAUUAAACAUUUUAUUUACCUUUAAAAAAAAAA